AGGUGCUGCACGGCUGUCGUCAGCUCGUGUCGUGAGAUGUUGGGUUAAGUCCCGCAACGAGCGCAACCCUCGUCACUAGUUACUAACAGUUAGGCUGAGGACUCCAGUGAGACUGCCUUCGUAAGGAGGAGGAAGGUGAGGACGACGUCAAGUCAUCAUGGCCCUUACGGCUAGGGCGACACACGUGCUACAAUGGUUAAGACAGUGAGAAGCGAUACCGCGAGGUGGAGCCAAUCUAUAAACCUAAUCUCAGUUCGGAUUGUAGUCUGCAACUCGACUACAUGAAGCUGGAAUCACUAGUAAUCGUAGAUCAGCUAUGCUACGGUGAAUACGUUCCCGGGUCUUGUACUCACCGCCCGUCACACCAUGGGAGUUGAUUUCACCCGAAGCGGGGAAGCUAAACUGGCUACCCUCCACGGUGGAAUUAGCGACUGGGGUGAAGUCGUAACAAGGUA
rnacentral:rRNA from 1 species